rnacentral:rRNA from 1 species
GGUGCCAGCAGCCGCGGUAAUUCCAGCUCCAAUAGCGUAUAUUAAAGUUGUUGCAGUUAAAAAGCCCGUAGUUGAACUUCAGACCUGGUGGGGUGGUCCGCUUAACGGCGUGUACUGCUCUGCUGGGCCUUACCUCUUGGUGAGCCGGCGUGGCCUUAACUGGUUGCGUCGGGGAACCAGGACUUUUACCUUGAGAAAAUUAGAGUGUUCAAAGCAGGCCUAUGCCUGAAUACAUUAGCAUGGAAUAAUAAAAUAGGACGUGCGGUUCUAUUUUGUUGGUUUCUAGAGUCGCCGUAAUGAUUAAUAGGGAUAGUUGGGGGCAUUGGUAUUGAGUCGCUAGAGGUGAAAUUCUUGGAUUGACUCAAGACCGACUACUGCGAAAGCAUUUGCCAAGGAUGUUUUCAUUAAUCAAGGACGAAGGUUAGGGGAUCGAAAACGAUCAGAUACCGUUGUAGUCUUAACAGUAAACUAUGCCGACUAGGGAUCGGGCGACCUCAAAUUUGAUGUGUCGCUCGGCACCUUACGAGAAAUCAAAGUUUUUGGGUUCUGG